rnacentral:rRNA from 1 species
UACGUAGGUGGCUAGCGUUGUCCGGAAUUAUUGGGCGUAAAGAGCUCGUAGGCGGCUUGUCGCGUCGGAUGUGAAAGCCCGGGGCUCAACUCCGGAACUGCCUUUAAGACUGCAUCGCUUGAAUCCAGGAGAGGUGAGUGGAAUUCCGAGUGUAGAGGUGAAAUUCGUAGAUAUUCGGAAGAAACACCAGUGGCGAAGGCGGCUCACUGGACUGGUAUUGACGCUGAGGUGCGAAAGCGUGGGGAGCAAACAGG